GAGAAAAGAUCUUCGCCUGACACAUCAGGAGUUGCACCAGAAAUGGGACACGAAUCGAUUGAAGAUGGCGCGACACAUCGUGAGCAACCGGCGGUCGACCAAGUGUCUCAGGGAGAACAGCAGGUGAACGAUGAAACGACAGAUCCCGA
rnacentral:ribozyme from 1 species